UGUGGGUGAACCACUAAUUAAUUAUAUAAAUUAGAAACAUGUUUUAAAAUGUAAAAUUUUCUUUUCUCAAAUUUAGGUGGCGCUACGCAAUAUAAUGUCAACUCAUCUUUUUCCUUAGGCUUCCAACAGAAACCUGUAACCUACCGAAGGACACUAAAGCAAUUUCUGAUGAGCUAAGGAACAACCAUAAGGGAAGCCUGGUGUCCACACUCAGAUGCUGCUUGUGGUGGUGAAGAGUGAGGCAUUAGGCUGGCUUCAGAGGAAUCGUUGCACCACCACUUGUUGGCAAAGAGAUCUUUUGCAAGCUUGCUGAGUAGCAGCUGACAUGCACAGGAUUGUAUAUAGAAGAUGCUGACAAGAAAAGACACAGAAAGGAUAAUCAACUGCCAUGGAUGCCUACAACCUGACCACUCUGGAAAGAUAAGGCAGGAGGAUCACAAAUUUGAGCCCACCCUCAGC